CACCACCCGAAUGGUGCAUUUCUUCUGAGGCUUAGUAGGGAGCCACACGCGAGCCAGGUCUACCAGCAGCCCCGCGUCCAGCAGCCCAUAGCCAUAGUGGUGGCUCACUGCGCGGGAGGGGUAGCCGUCACUGGCCCUGCGUACACGGCACCCCCUUCCCCUGCCUGGCCCCGCCGCACCUUGGCGCCCCACGCCGUUGAUCCUCCAGUCCUCCGCCUGCAGCUGCGCCGGCCUGGACGCGCGGACCACCAGGUGCUGCAGGUCCCUCCAGGUCAGCAGCGGGCUGGGGGGGCGAGGGCGGGUGAGCGGGGAGCCGCCCGUGGGGGCGGGGCGGCGGGCGGGGCCCCACGGUCACCUACUUGGCCUCCAGCGCCAGGGCGAUCAUGCCAGCGGCCAGCGGGGCGGAGGCCGAGGUGCCCGUGUGCUUGUCGGUGCAUUGAUGGUGUAGGUCCGUGGUGACCUGGGGACAGACAGCAGAGGGACCUUGAUCUCCGUGCGCAGCCCAGAUGGGAAACUUGUGUGGAAGGUACUGGGGACUGAGUACAAAGUGCUGAACAUCAGCUUAAGUACGAGACUAAGCUGGGGAAACACAUGAAUGACUAAGCCCAAAAGGUACUGCGAGGGCCUGGUGACGCAGGAAUUUAAUUCCAGCACUCACUGGGGCAGAAGCUGGGACUUUUGGCCUAGACUGGUCUACACUGUGAGCACCUGGCUCAAAUAAAGAAUGCUAACGACCA
rnacentral:lncRNA from 1 species